rnacentral:tRNA from 1 species
GCGGGGGUGGAGGAAUUGGUAGACACGCCAGACUUAGAAUCUGGUGCCGCGAGAUGUGGGAGUUCGAGUCCCCCGCCCGUA